rnacentral:rRNA from 1 species
CUGGCGGCGUGCCUCAGACAUGCAAGUCGAACGCGAAAGGCUCCUUCGGGGGCCGAGUAGAGUGGCGUCCGGGUGAGUAACACGUGGGUAAUCUACCUUCGGGUGGGGAAUAACGACCGGAAACGGUCGCUAAUACCGCAUAAUGCAGCGGCACCUAAUGGUGACAGUUGUUAAAGCGGGGGAUCGCAAGACCUCGCGCCUGAAGAGGAGCCCGCGGCGGAUUAGCUUGUUGGCAGGGUAACGGCCUACCAAGGCGACGAUCCGUAGCCGGCCUGAGAGGGCGGUCGGCCACACUGGCACUGACACACGGGCCAGACUCCUACGGGAGGCAGCAGUCGGGAAUUUUGGGCAAUGGGCGAAAGCCUGACCCAGCAACGCCGCGUGAAGGAUGAAGUUUCUCGGAAUGUAAACUUCACAAGAAUGGGAAGAAUAAGGGGGUGCUAACACCUCUCCCGAUGACGGUACCAUUUGUAAGCUCCGGCUAACUCCGUGCCAGCAGCCGCGGUAAUACGGGGGGAGCAAGCGUUGUUCGGAUUUACUGGGCGUAAAGGGCGCGUAGGCGGCGCAACAAGUCACUUGUGAAAUCUCCUGGCUCAACUAGGAGCGGCCAAGUGAUACUGUCGUGCUAAAGUGCGGAAGGGGCUACUGGAAUUCU